rnacentral:misc_RNA from 1 species
GAUGAAGAACGUAGCGAAAUGCGAUAAGUAAUGUGAAUUGCAGAAUUCAGUGAAUCAUCGAAUCUUUGAACGCACAUUGCGCCCGCCAGUAUUCUGGCGGGCAUGCCUGUCCGAGCGUCAUUUCAACCCUCGGGCCCCCCUCUGCGGGCGGCCCGGCGUUGGGGCUCAGGCACCGUCUCUGCUCGGCGCCUGUCCCCUAAAUGCAGUGGCGGCCUCGCCGCUGCCUCCUCCGCGUAGUAGCACAAACCUCGCGGCUGGAAGGCGGCGCGGCCACGCCGUAAAACCCCCCAACUUUACCAAGGUUGACCUCGGAUCAGGUAGGAAUACCCGCUGAACUUAAGCAUAUCAAUAAGCGGAGGA